rnacentral:rRNA from 1 species
CCUACGGGUGGCUGCAGUGAGGAAUAUUGGUCAAUGGGCGUAAGCCUGAACCAGCCAAGUCGCGUGCGGGAUGAAGGUUCUAUGGAUCGUAAACCUCUUUUAUAAGGGAAUAAAGUGUAGGACGUGUCCGGUUUUGUAUGUACCUUAUGAAUAAGGAUCGGCUAACUCCGUGCCAGCAGCCGCGGUAAUACGGAGGAUACGAGCGUUAUCCGGAUUUAUUGGGUUUAAAGGGUGCGUAGGGGGCCUUUAAGUCAGCGGUGAAAGUCUGUGGCUCAACCAUAGAACUGCCGUUGAAACUGUGAAGCUUGAGUAUGUUUGAGGCAGGCGGAAUGCGUGGUGUAGCGGUGAAAUGCGUAGAUAUCACGCAGAACCCCAAUUGCGAAGGCAGCCUGCCAAGCCAUGACUGACGCUGAUGCACGAAAGCGUGGGGAUCAAACAGGAUUAGAUACCCGAGUAGUC